AUUAUCAUGCAUAGCCGGAGCUUGUUUAUUUAUCAUAAGUGUGUGUGUGCAGCAUAGAAACAGCUAAACAGAAGCUGGAGCUGGACCGCAUGCAUAAGGAAGCAGAACAGAGGAAACGGGAGCGGCGUAAGAGGCUGGCGGAACUACAGAGUCGAUUUCAAGCUUUACUGGAGCAGAACCAGAGCCUUCCUGAACACAUCCGCCUCCAUCGCUCGGUGCAUAGAUCUCACACCUCCUCGCUCACUCACCUAUUUCAGUGUAAUGAUUACACAGACACAAUGAUCUAACAUAAUAUUUUAUGGGUGCUUGUAGGAGUUUGAACUGGACCAGAACUUCCGUGUGGAGACUGAAAGACAGACAGAAGAGAGAAUGAUGGAGGUCAGGAAAGAACUGGCCUGGGAGGAGGAGAGAUACCGCAUCGGCCUUAACAAACUACAGACCAUGUUCUGGGAGUCAGUGGUGGAGGACACGAUCACGGUCCAUGCGUUUAAGAGUGGACAUAAGGUCUCUAACUACAGGCUGCUGGCUCUGUCUGCCAUACAAAUGCACCUGCACCAGCAUGGCACAGCGGCAUCUCAGAGCGGACUCAUGGAACAGGAUCACUGGCAGAGCAAAGCACAGCUUGGCAAAGAAGCCAGCAACAUUUCACGUGAGACAGGAUUAGUGUGUUAAAUUAACAUUUAGACUUGUGUGUGUGUGCAGUAGCCAUCGUUCUCCUUCUCUCUAAGCAGUGCAGGAUGAGCUGGUAACAGAUCCGGUGAUGCAAUCGGGAAGCAUGCAGUCAGGGUCUCGUAAACUGGCCAGCAGAGAGGCGGAGAAACUCCGUAAAGCUGCCGAGAAGGCAGAGAAAGCCCGAGCCAUGAUAGAGAAGAGGAAAAAAGAGUGGGCAGAACUGUAAGUACCAGUGUGUGUGUAUCUUUCUGUCUGUUUAUGAGUGUGUGUGUAACAUUGUUAAUGCUUCCUCAGCUAUGCCUCUAAGCCUAGUGAGGACUAUGAGGACCCUAAGGAUGUGGAAGCGAUUCGAUUGGCUAAGGAGAAAAUGGGCGACUUUAAGCUGAAGUCAGCGAAAGACUUUACUGUUCCUGAACACCUGCGGAUGAACGUGGAGAAGAAGAGAGUGCAGUUAGUGGAACUGGAAAAAAAGGUGAAUGAUACAAAUGUAUCACCGAAAACGAAACUU
rnacentral:lncRNA from 1 species